rnacentral:rRNA from 1 species
GACGUAGGGCGCGAGCGUUGUCCGGAUUUAUUGGGCGUAAAGAGCUCGUAGGCGGCUUGUCGCGUCGUCCGUGAAAACCUGCAGCUCAACUGCAGGCUUGCGGUCGAUACGGGCAGGCUAGAGUUCGGUAGGGGAGACUGGAAUUCCUGGUGUAGCGGUGAAAUGCGCAGAUAUCUGGAGGAACACCGGUGGCGAAGGCGGCAUCCUGGACCGGUAUUGACGCUGAGGCGCGAAAGCUAGGGGAGCAAACGGG